GUUCGGAUUUACUGGGCGUAAAGGGYGCGUAGGCGGCCCUGUUUGUCGCGUGUGAAAGCCCCGGGCUCAACCUGGGAACGGCGCGCGAUACGGCGGGGCUAGAGAUCGGGAGAGGAGCGUGGAAUUCCCAGUGUAGAGGUGAAAUUCGUAGAUAUUGGGAAGAACACCGGUGGCGAAGGCGGCGCUCUGGACCGAGACUGACGCUGAGGCGCGAAAGCGUGGGGAGCAAACAGGAUUAGAUACCCUGGUAGUCCACGCUGUAAACGAUGUGUGCUAGACGUUGGGGAGCCUAGCUCUUCGGUGUCGCAGCUAACGCGGUAAGCACACCGCCUGGGGAGUACGGCCGCAAGGUUA
rnacentral:rRNA from 1 species